AAUCUGGGAAGUGGAGAUCCCCUGAGACAGCAAUUUAUGCAGUUUCAGCAGCCUUUUCAAUAUCUUCAACAGUCGAGCAGCCAUUGUCCACUGUUGCAGCUACAGCAGCAGCAUCAAGCAAUUCAACAAUCAACCUCUCAUAAUAUACUGCAGGCACAAAAUCAGAUUUCAACUGAAAGCUUGCCCCGGCAUUUAUUGCAGCAACAACUCAACAAUCAAACAGAUGAUCAUACACAGCAACAGCAUAAGCAACAACAACAGCAACAUAGUUACCAUGAUGUGCUUCAGAUUCAAGGUGAACAACUCCAGAGACAGCAGCCAAAUGUACCUUCUCCAUCAUUUUCAAAAACUGAUUUCAUGGACUCAAACACCAAGUACUCGGCAUCUACUACCCCUAUACAGAACAUGCUGGGUUCUAUGUGUGCUGAAGGGAGUGGUAACCUUUUGGACUUCACCAGAACUGGUCAAUCAACACUAACUACACUAACUGAGCAGUUGCCUCAACAGUCUUGGGUCCCAAAAUAUGCACAUUCACAGGUCAAUGCUUAUACCAAUUCUCUGUCACUUCCUCGUCCAUAUCCUGAGAAAGAUCCUGCUAUGGAGCCAGAAAGUUGCAACUUGGAUGCUCAAAAUCAUACCAAUUUUGGUGUGAACAUCGAUUCAUCUGGACUCUUACUGCCUACCACACUGCCCAGAUAUGCCUCUUCGACAGUUGAUGCUGAUGUGUCCUCAAUGCCAUUGGGGGAUUCUGGGUUUCAGAAUUCUAUAUAUGGUGGUGUGCAAGACUCUU
rnacentral:misc_RNA from 1 species